UGGGGAAUAUUGGACAAUGGGGGCAACCCUGAUCCAGCCAUGCCGCGUGAGUGAUGAAGGCCUUCGGGUUGUAAAGCUCUUUUGGCGGGGACGAUGAUGACGGUACCCGCAGAAUAAGCCCCGGCUAACUUCGUGCCAGCAGCCGCGGUAAGACGAAGGGGGCUAGCGUUGUUCGGAAUUACUGGGCGUAAAGCGAGUGUAGGCGGUUGCCGUAGUCAGGUGUGAAAGCCUUGAGCUCAACUCAAGAAAUGCACUUGAUACUGGGUGACUAGAGGACCGGAGAGGAUAGUGGAAUUCCCAGUGUAGUGGUGAAAUACGUAGAGAUUGGGAAGAACACCAGUGGCGAAGGCGGCUAUCUGGACGGUUACUGACGCUAAGACUCGAAAGCGUGGGGAGCAAACAGGAUUAGAUACCCUGGUAGUCCACGCCGUAAACGAUGGGUGCUAGACGUUGGCGAGCUUGCUCGUCAGUGUCGCAGCUAACGCGUUAGCACCCCGCCUGGGGAGUACGGCCGCAAGGUUGAAACUCAAAUGAA
rnacentral:rRNA from 1 species